rnacentral:lncRNA from 1 species
CGUUGGUUCAAUCUGUAAACCUUUUUAUCCACAUGAAGAAUACUAAAAUCCCUUCCAGGCAACAACUGCAAUAACUCCUGGUUCUUACAUCAGUACAAAAUGGCGAAACUAUUACUUUCUUAAAUGUUACAAUUAUUGCGUUUUCCAUAUCCACUAUACCAUGUUGUGUCUUACAUACUACCCGAAAAUUUUGUAUUUUGCCACUUUUUCUCCAUCUUCCUGAACAUGCAUGAAAUAUUUGCCAAUGGACGUUUCAGUAACCAACAACCAAUCAGUCUCUCCAGGAAUUGUACUUCUGAAUUUUACCC